rnacentral:lncRNA from 1 species
UCUUCCUCUUGCUUUGCGCGUCAGUCCCCCGGGACCUUGUCCAGGAUUUUCUCUGAUUUUUAGGGAUUUCACCUCUGUAAGUGGUCUUCAUGUGAUUCUAGAUGUCUUCCAGGGGUUCUUCUUCUAGCAGCUCUAGGAGUUCAUCUGUCUCGAUCUCCCAGAGUCCUCAGGCAGUAGAUGAACCGGUAGGUAGAGUUGAACCUUGUCUGAUUUUUGCACCG